UGGUUAUCCAUGGCGUCUUGGUAGAGCUCCUAGAACAACCUUUAACUACUAAUCUAUUCAGCAACCAAAAAUUCAAAAAAGGUUAUGUUAAAAGUGUUAAGGAAAUUGUGGAAGGUGCAUUAUUCCCUGAAGGCGGAGUAGAAAAGAACAAAGUUGGUGAUGCAGGAGGAGUAGGUGGACUUGUGAUUGUGAGAGACCUUGACUUUUACUCCUACUGUGAGUCUUGCAUGCUACCAUUCUAUUUCAAGUGUCAUGUGGGCUAUGUCCCUUCUGCUCAAAGAGUUCUCGGUUUAAGCAAACUCUCUCGUG
rnacentral:sRNA from 1 species